GCCAGACUCCUACGGGAGGCAGCAGUGGGGAAUAUUGCACAAUGGGGGGAACCCUGAUGCAGCAAUGCCGCGUGAAGGAUGAAGGUUUUCGGAUUGUAAACUUCUUUUGUACGGGACGAAGAAAGUGACGGUACCGUAAGAAUAAGCACCGGCUAACUCCGUGCCAGCAGCCGCGGUAAUACGGAGGGUGCAAGCGUUACUCGGAAUCACUGGGCGUAAAGAGCGCGUAGGCGGGAUAGCAAGUCAGAUGUGAAAUCCUGUGGCUUAACCAUAGAACUGCAUUUGAAACUGUUAUUCUAGAGUAUGGGAGAGGUAGGUGGAAUUCUUGGUGUAGGGGUAAAAUCCGUAGAGAUCAAGAGGAAUACUCAUUGCGAAGGCGACCUGCUAGAACAUAACUGACGCUGAUGCGCGAAAGCGUGGGGAGCAAACAGGAUUAGAUACCCUCGUAUUA
rnacentral:rRNA from 1 species